rnacentral:rRNA from 1 species
CCUACGGGUGGCUGCAGUGGGGAAUAUUGCACAAUGGGCGCAAGCCUGAUGCAGCCAUGCCGCGUGUGUGAAGAAGGCCUUCGGGUUGUAAAGCACUUUCAUCGGGGAGGAAGGCGUUAAGGUUAAUAACCUUGGCGAUUGACGUUACCCGCAGAAGAAGCACCGGCUAACUCCGUGCCAGCAGCCGCGGUAAUACGGAGGGUGCAAGCGUUAAUCGGAAUUACUGGGCGUAAAGCGCACGCAGGCGGUCUGUCAAGUCGGAUGUGAAAUCCCCGGGCUCAACCUGGGAACUGCAUUCGAAACUGGCAGGCUAGAGUCUUGUAGAGGGGGGUAGAAUUCCAGGUGUAGCGGUGAAAUGCGUAGAGAUCUGGAGGAAUACCGGUGGCGAAGGCGGCCCCCUGGACAAAGACUGACGCUCAGGUGCGAAAGCGUGGGGAGCAAACAGGAUUAGAUACCCCAGUAGUC